rnacentral:rRNA from 1 species
GAUGAACGCUGGCGGCGUGCCUAAUACAUGCAAGUCGAGCGAACAGACGAGGAGCUUGCUCCUCUGACGUUAGCGGCGGACGGGUGAGUAACACGUGGAUAACCUACCUAUAAGACUGGGAUAACUUCGGGAAACCGGAGCUAAUACCGGAUAAUAUAUUGAACCGCAUGGUUCAAUAGUGAAAGACGGUUUUGCUGUCACUUAUAGAUGGAUCCGCGCCGCAUUAGCUAGUUGGUAAGGUAACGGCUUACCAAGGCAACGAUGCGUAGCCGACCUGAGAGGGUGAUCGGCCACACUGGAACUGAGCCACGGUCCAGACUCCUACGGGAGGCAGCAGUAGGGAAUCUUCCGCAAUGGGCGAAAGCCUGACGGAGCAACGCCGCGUGAGUGAUGAAGGUCUUCGGAUCGUAAAACUCUGUUAUUAGGGAAGAACAAAUGUGUAAGUAACUAUGCACGUCUUGACGGUACCUAAUCAGAAAGCCGCGGCUAACUACGUG